GACGAACGCUGGCGGCGUGCUUAACACAUGCAAGUCGAACGGAAAGGCCCUGCUCUUGUGGGGUGCUCGAGUGGCGAACGGGUGAGUAACACGUGAGUAACCUGCCCCUGACUUUGGGAUAACUUCAGGAAACUGGGGCUAAUACCGGAUAUGAGCUCCUGCUGCACGGUGGGGGUUGGAAAGUUGCGGCGGUGUGGGAUUGACUCGAGGCUUAUCAUCUUGUUGGUGGGGUGGUGGCUUACCAAGGCUUUGACGGGUAGCCGGCUUGAGAGGGUGACCGGCCCCAUUGGGACUGAGGUGCGGCCCAGACUCCUACGGGGGGCAGCAGUGGAGGUUAGUGCACAAUGCGCCGAAGCAGGAUAGAGCAACGCCGCGUCGGGGAACACGGCUUUUGGGUUGUAAACCGCUUUCGAGUGUAAAGCAGCGUGAGUGACGGUAAUGGCUAAAGAAGCGCCGGCUAACUACGUG
rnacentral:rRNA from 1 species